CCUACAGGAGGCAGCAGUGGGGAAUAUUGGACAAUGGGGGGAACCCUGAUCCAGCCAUGCCGCGUGUGUGAAGAAGGCCCUCGGGUUGUAAAGCACUUUCAGUGAGGAAGAACGCCUGGUGGUUAAUACCCAUCAGGAAAGACAUCACUCACAGAAGAAGCACCGGCUAACUCCGUGCCAGCAGCCGCGGUAAUACGGAGGGUGCGAGCGUUAAUCGGAAUUACUGGGCGUAAAGCGCGCGUAGGUGGCUUGAUAAGCCGGUUGUGAAAGCCCCGGGCUCAACCUGGGAACGGCAUCCGGAACUGUCAAGCUAGAGUGCAGGAGAGGAAGGUAGAAUUCCCGGUGUAGCGGUGAAAUGCGUAGAGAUCGGGAGGAAUACCAGUGGCGAAGGCGGCCUUCUGGACUGACACUGACACUGAGGUGCGAAAGCGUGGGUAGCAAACAGGAUUAGAUACCCCUGUAGUC
rnacentral:rRNA from 1 species